UGAAGUCAGCACUGUCCCAGAGUGGGAAGCUCAGGAUUCCUUCCAAGGAGUUGCAGGAAAAGCUUUAACAGUUUUGGGCAGAGGAUCAGUACAUAUUACCUUUCUCCAAGUCAGCUGAAAAAUUGUCACUGAACCCUCACAUUUCCUUUAGGGAUAAUCAGUAAGUUUUCUUUCAGAGUUGAAUGCAUGUAUACACUGUGGAUGUCUGACUUACCCUAUCCUAAUUAUCCAUGAGUGUCCCUUUAAGUAGUGUGUUAUAAUGGUAAUGACAUUGUCCUGGAAACAAAGGCCCUGAGUCCUUCGAGUUCUUAUCAACUUGACUUCAAGUCCCUCAUCUGUGGAAUGGAGUUAAUGCCUACCCUAUCUAUCUCAUAGGAUUGUUAUGAGGUUUGAUGAGNCCUAUCCUAAUUAUCCAUGAGUGUCCCUUUAAGUAGUGUGUUAUAAUGGUAAUGGCAUUGUCCUGGAAACAAAGGCCCUGAGUCCUUGAGUUCUUAUCAACUUGACUUCAAGUCCCUCAUCUGUGGAAUGGAGUUAAGGCCUGCCCUAUCUAUCUCAUAGGAUUGUUAUGAGAGGGAAGGUGUUGGAGGAGUUUGUCAAGGAGAUGAGACCUCUGGUUGACUUGUGAGCUUGAUUCAGCAAUGAGUCUCCUAUACCCUCGCCUCCCCUAGGAAUGUAUGGACUGCUCACUGUUCCCACCAUGGGAGCCCGUUUUCAAGGAUGCAGUCUUGUGAAAGCAAUGUGUUGUUGAGACCAUCUGGACUGAAUAAAUGACUGAACCUAACUUCUCUGCAGUUUUAGGAUUCUGGUGGGCAGGUGUGGAAAUCCAUCCAUCAUGCAGCUGCCUGAGACAAGCCUUGAAUCAAGUGCCCUUGCUUAUUAAACCUGCCACCUACCUGUGUGGANGCUGCCUGAGACAAGCCUUGAAUCAAGUGCCCUUGCUUAUUAAACCUGCCACCUCCCUGUGUGGUCUGUCUCUUUGUUCCUUCCUCAUCAGCUUGGAGCCAGUUUCAGAUUUCAUCCAGGAAGCUUCUGAAUUUCCAAACCAACUGAAGGAUGCCUUCAUGUUUUGUGCCGUAAUUCCUUUCACCAGUGAACAGCUUUAUACGAUUCAACUCACUCUAUUUGAAGUGAGAAAUGGAAACAAGUAGAGAAGCUGAGUUGAAGAGCCAAAGAAAUAUGAAAUAAAUACUUGUAAGUAAUUCA
rnacentral:lncRNA from 1 species